UACGUAGGGGGCUAGCGUUGUCCGGAUUUAUUGGGCGUAAAGAGCGUGUAGGCGGCCAGGUAGGUCUGCUGUGAAAACUCGAGGCUCAACCUCGAGACGUCGGCGGAAACCAUCUGGCUAGAGUCCGGAAAGAGGAGAGUGGAAUUCCGUGGUGUAGCGGUGAAAUGCGCAGAUAUCAGGAAGAACACCCGUGGCGAAGGCGGCUCUCUGGGACGGUACUGACGCUGAGACGCGAAAGCGUGGGGAGCGAACAGG
rnacentral:rRNA from 1 species